rnacentral:rRNA from 1 species
UACAUGGGGUGCAAACGUUGCUCGGAAUUAUUGGGCGUAAAGCGCACGUAGGCGGUUUGUUAAGUCGGAUGUGAAAUCCCUCGGCUCAACUGAGGAAGUGCAUCCGAAACUGGCAAGCUUGAGUACGAAAGAGGGUCGCGGAAUUCCCGGUGUAGAGGUGAAAUUCGUAGAUAUCGGGAGGAACACCGGUGGCGAAGGCGGCUUCCUGGACAGUGACUGACGCUGAGACGCGAAAGCGUGGGGAGCAAACAGG